rnacentral:rRNA from 1 species
AGCGAACGCUGGCGGCGGGCCUAACACAUGCAAGUCGAACGGAUCCUUCGGGAUUAGUGGCGGACGGGUGAGUAACACGUGGGAACGUGCCCUUUGGUUCGGAACAACUCAGGGAAACUUGAGCUAAUACCGGAUGUGCCCUUCGGGGGAAAGAUUUAUCGCCAGUGGAGCGGCCCGCGUCUGAUUAGCUAGUUGGUGAGGUAAAGGCUCACCAAGGCGACGAUCAGUAGCUGGUCUGAGAGGAUGAUCAGCCACAUUGGGACUGAGACACGGCCCAAACUCCUACGGGAGGCAGCAGUGGGGAAUCUUGCGCAAUGGGCGAAAGCCUGACGCAGCCAUGCCGCGUGAAUGAUGAAGGUCUUAGGAUUGUAAAAUUCUUUCACCGGGGACGAUAAUGACGGUACCCGGAGAAGAAGCCCCGGCUAACUUCGUGCCAGCAGCCGCCGUAACAC